GACUCGUUAGUUCAGUUGGGAGAACGCUUGCUUGACAGGCAAGAGGUCGUUGGUUCGAGUCCAAUACGAGUCA
rnacentral:tRNA from 1 species